GUGAGGGUCAGCACGGGUCCCAGCAAGACUCGUAGUGGCUCUCUGUCCCUCAGGCAUAGCAGAAUCAGCCCCCCUGCAGAAGCCACAGGCCUGCCUUGUCGUUUUCCCUUCAGCACGGCGCAGCGUGGGGCAUUCAUCCACUUCUUCCAGCAAUUGCAGCAGGGCUCCACGUGCUCAACCCCCCGCGCCCCGCUGGCUGUGCCCCCCCCAGCCGCCUGCUCAGCCUCCC
rnacentral:lncRNA from 1 species